GACGAAGGGUCCUAGCGUUGUUCGGAUUCAUUGGGCGUAAAGGGUGCGUAGGUGGCGGGGUAAGUCAGGUGUGAAAUCUCGGAGCUCAACUCCGAAACUGCACUUGAUACUGCCUUGCUCGAGUACUGGAGAGGAGAUUGGAAUUUACGGUGUAGCAGUGAAAUGCGUAGAUAUCAGGAGGAACACCGGUGGCGAAGGCGCACAUCUGGCCGAUACUGACGCUGAGGCGCGAAAGCUAGGGGAGCAAACGGG
rnacentral:rRNA from 1 species